rnacentral:rRNA from 1 species
ACAUGCAAGUCGAACGGAAGUCGUUAUAAAAAGGAUUGAAGAUUUAUCUGAUUGAGAUUUUAUAACAAUGGCUUUAGUGGCGGACUGGUGAGUAACGCGUGAGCAACCUGCCUACUAGAGAGGAAUAACAGUGAGAAAUCAUUGCUAAUACCGCAUAUGCCAUGAACAUCACAUGAUGAAAAUGGGAAAAGAGUAAUCUGCUAGUAGAUGGGCUCGCGUCUGAUUAGAUAGUUGGCGGGGUAACGGCCUACCAAGUCGACGAUCAGUAGCCGGACUGAGAGGUUGAACGGCCACAUUGGGACUGAGAUACGGCCCAGACUCCUACGGGAGGCAGCAGUCGGGAAUAUUGCGCAAUGGAGGAAACUCUGACGCAGUGACGCCGCGUAUAGGAAGAAGGUUUUCGGAUUGUAAACUAUUGUCGUUAGGGAAGAUACAAGACAGUACCUAAGGAGGAAGCUCCGGCUAACUACGUGCCAGCAGCCGCGGUAAUACGUAGGGAGCAAGCGUUAUCCGGAUUUAUUGGGUGUAAAGGGUGCGUAGACGGGACAACAAGUUAGUUGUGAAAUCCCUCGGCUUAACUGAGGAACUGCAACUAAAACUAUUGUUCUUGAGUGUUGGAGAGGAAAGUGGAAUUCCUAGUGUAGCGGUGAAAUGCGUAGAUAUUAGGAGGAACACCGGUGGCGAAGGCGACUUUCUGGACAAUAACUGACGUUGA